GCAAGUCGAGCGGAAACGAGAAUAGCUUGCUAUUCGGCGUCGAGCGGCGGACGGGUGAGUAAUGCUUAGGGAUUUGCCCAGUCGAGGGGGAUAACUAUUGGAAACGAUAGCUAAUACCGCAUACGCCCUACGGGGGAAAAGAGGGGACCUUCGGGCCUUCUGCGAUUGGAUAAGCCUAAGUGAGAUUAGCUAGUUGGUGAGGUAAUGGCUCACCAAGGCGACGAUCUCUAGCUGGUUUGAGAGGAUGAUC
rnacentral:rRNA from 1 species